UCCAGACUCCUACGGGAGGCAGCAGUGGGGGAUAUUGCACAAUGGGGGGAACCCUGAUGCAGCGACGCCGCGUGGGUGAAGGAGCGUUUCGGCGCGUAAAGCCCUAUCGGCAGGGAAGAAGGAGGACGGUACCUGACUAAGAAGCCCCGGCUAACUACGUGCCAGCAGCCGCGGUAAUACGUAGGGGGCAAGCGUUAUCCGGAUUUACUGGGUGUAAAGGGGGCGCAGACGGCAGCGCAAGCCAGGAGUGAAAGCCCGGGGCCCAACCCCGGGACUGCUCUUGGAACUGCGCGGCUGGAGUGCAGGAGGGGCAGGCGGAAUUCCUGGUGUAGCGGUGAAAUGCGUAGAUAUCAGGAGGAACACCGGUGGCGAAGGCGGCCUGCUGGACUGCGACUGACGUUGAGGCCCGAAAGCGUGGGGAGCAAACAGGAUUAGAUACCCGGGUAUCG
rnacentral:rRNA from 1 species